UAUCUAAGGGUUGUGGCUGCUCAGCCAUCGGACUGGUCAGUGGUAAGCAGCAAUAAAUAUUUGUUGAAUGAAUGAAAAAAGAAUGAAUGAAAAAAGAAUGAAUGAAUUCCUAAUUCCCUUCCUUCCAAAGCCCAGCGCCCCUGCUGAGAAGAAAGGAAACGAAUAUUGACUUCCAAUUUAAUCCCUACAACCCUGUACGGGAGGAAUCAUUCUUCCUUCUGUAAUGGGGGACCAAGGGAUAAGGGAGGUUUGCCUUGUCGGGUUCGCACACUCUAAGGAAGCCGCUGAGCAGGCUGUAUCCCAGCUCUGCUCGAGGCCACACUCUCCAGGGCUCCUCGCCGCCCCUCGCCGCCCCUGGGGGGAGGGAGGGGGGGGUGACGUCGCAGGGGAAGGACAGUGCUGUGGCCGGCGGCUGUGUGCGGGGCAAAGUCGCGAGCUCCCACGCAUGGAGUCCGGGGGCGGGGAGGCGGGGCAGCGCGGGGAGGCGGGGCGGCCGGGGGCUGAGCCUGUGUCUGCCGGGCGGGCGCCGCGGCCCGGGAGCUGCAGGCACCCUGCGGUUGCCCCACAAACUUCCUGGCUGGACACAUCUGUUUCUCAAGUACCUUCUCUUGGCUCUGCAUUCAUGUCUUCUGCAUCUCCGUUUGUGUUACCGAGUCCAAGCUUGCUCUGCUCACCGCACGACAGAUCAAUAAAUCGGAGACGAGGUGUUGAGGCAGGGAACACGACUUUACUCGCGAAGCCGGCAGAGGGAGAAGAUGGCAGACUAAUGUCUCAAAAAUCUGACUGUGGAGUGGAAGAAAAUGAGCCAGCCUUCUUUUCUUGAAGGUCUUGAAAGGAAGCCCACAGAUGAAGAAACAAGUUCAGAGAUGCAAGGUCACACAGCAAGGUAAAGUGAACCUUUCAUUCACACUCAGAUGGGAACAUUAUCUCCAGGUUCUUGAGUCCACCAGCAGUUGCUGCGGAGUCUUCUAUGGAGCUGACAAGUGGUCUGGCCCUCAAAGCCUUCCCUGAUGUCCUCAGACAGAUAUCCUGUGUGAUUACAGUCAGAGGCUCAUCAUUAUCGGUGUCACAGCUACUAAAAGUCCUCAGAGAUGUGAAUGAUCCCCUGGAGAUAAGGCAGACAUUUCUACUGAAAUGCUAGGAAAAUAAGCCCACCAUUCACCAUUGUAUGGGGAAAGAAGGGGCCCUGAAGAUCAUGUACAGCUUUGUAAUUCAUCGAGGAGCCUUAGACAUUUCUGCAUUUAGAAAUUUUAAAUGACUGAGUUCUCCAACGCUUCAAACUUCUGGCAGGGAAGACAUAUUAAUCCAACAAGCAAAUCUUCUAAACAUGUAAAUGAGUCUUGCAAAUCGAACAUAUCGACCUGCUAAAUGUGGCAAGCAGACAGAAGAUAACCAGAGCAACACCAUGAAGAUAAGUCACUUUACCUGAAUGAACACAAUUUACCAAAAGUACUGAUCCCACUGUCAUCUAUUUAUUGUCUCCUUGUUUAUCUGUACAUUUUCCCAGAACUACAUUUUUUUCUCAGCCAACCAAGAGAAACUUAAAAACCCUCAGUUCCAUGACUACAGUAACUGACAUUUCAGAAUCAAAGUUUGGUCUGAGACUCUGGAUAACUAAACAAGGCUUACACAGUAAUUCUAAGAUCAUUCUAGAUGAGCCAUAAAUAAGCUGAACUCUUCUUAAGUCUUUUCAAUCCUAUACAUUUUCUUACAAUAUAGUGCAUCUUCUAUCACCUUUUUGAUAUUUUGAACAGUAACUUUUUUUUUUUUUUUUUUUGCGGUACAUGGGCCUCUCACUGUUGUGGCCUGUCCCAUUGCGGAGCACAGGCUCCAGACGCGCAGGCUCAGCGGCCAUGGCUCACGGGCCCAGCCGCUCCGCUGCAUGUGGGAUCUUCCCGAACCGGGGCACGAACCCGUGUCCCCUGCAUCGGCAGGCGGGCUCUCAACCACUGCGCCACCAGGGAAGCCCUUGAACAGUAACCUUUUAUAACACUUUUACUGAGAUAUCUUCCACGUGAAUUUUUUUUUUUUUUUUUUUUUUU